rnacentral:rRNA from 1 species
GUAGUCAUAUGCUUGUCUCAAAGAUUAAGCCAUGCAUGUCUAAGUAUAAGCAACUCGUACUGUGAAACUGCGAAUGGCUCAUUAAAUCAGUUAUGAUCUACGUGACAUAUUCUUUACUACUUGGAUAACCGUGGUAAUUCUAGAGCUAAUACAUGCAAAAAAACCCUGACUUACGAAAGGGUGCACUUAUUAGAUAAAGCCAACGCUGGGUAAAACCAGUUUCCCUUGGUGAUUCAUAAUAAUUUAGCGGAUCGCAUGGCCUUGUGCUAGCGACAGUCCACUCGAUUUUCUGCCCUAUCAUGGUUGAGAUUGUAAGAUAGAGGCUUACAAUGCCUACAACGGGUAACGGGGAAU